CCUACGGGAGGCAGCAGUGAGGAAUAUUGCUCAAUGCCCGAAAGGGUGAAGCAGCAACGCCGCGUGAGGGAUGAAGUCCUUCUGGACGUAAACUCCUUUUAGAGGGGACGAAAAGCCCGAUUUGUCGGGAAUUGACGGUACCCUCAGAAAAAGCACCGGCUAACUACGUGCCAGCAGCCGCGGUAAUACGUAGGGUGCAAGCGUUGUCCGGAUUCACUGGGUGUAAAGGGUGCGCAGGCGGGCUCUUAAGUCAAAGGUGAAAUCUCUCGGCUUGACCGAGAAAUUGCCUUUGAUACUGAGAGCCUUGAGUACGGGAGAGGGAGAUGGAAUUCCAGGUGUAGCGGUGAAAUGCGUAGAUAUCUGGAGGAACACCGGAGGCGAAGGCGGUCUCCUGGCCCGUUACUGACGCUCAGGCACGAAAGCGUGGGGAGCAAACAGGAUUAGAUACCCUUGUAU
rnacentral:rRNA from 1 species